UACCAGCACCCCGAGUGGUCGGGACGAUUAUUGGGCCUAAAGCAUCCGUAGCCGGUUCUGCAAGUCCCCCGUUAAAUCCAGCUGCUCAACAGAUGGGCCGCGGAGGAUACUACAGAGCUAGGAGGCAGGAGAGGCAAGCGGUACUCAGUGGGUAGGGGUAAAAUCCGUUGAUCCAUUGAAGACCACCAGUGGCGAAGGCGGCUUGCCAGAAUGCGCUCGACGGUGAGGGAUGAAGCUGGGGAGCAAACCGG
rnacentral:rRNA from 1 species